UACGUAGGGGCCUAGCGUUGUCCGGAAUUAUUGGGCGUAAAGAGCUCGUAGGCGGUUCGGCAAGUCGGAUGUGAAAUCUCCACGCUCAACGUGGAGGGGCCAUUCGAAACUGCCGUGACUCGAGUCCGGUAGGGGAGUGUGGAAUUCCCGGUGUAGCGGUGAAAUGCGCAGAUAUCAGGAGGAACACCAAUGGCGAAGGCAGCUCGCUGGGACGUUACUGACGCUGAGACGCGAAAGCGUGGGGAGCAAACAGG
rnacentral:rRNA from 1 species